rnacentral:lncRNA from 1 species
GCGGAAGGUGAUCUACUCAAAAAUGAAAUAACUGGAUAAAUAUUUUGUGGGCUCCACAGUGCAAUCCUUUAGCUAUUUGUUCUCCACUCAACCACUCCCAAGAAGACAUUACAACAAAGGGUAGCAGAUUGUAAGGAACUAAGCUGCAGAAGAGAAGCAGGUACAGGGGAGUUGAUGUUUAAUUAGGAACGGACAUGCAACAGGACAGGAACAGCGUCAGAACUUGGAAACACAAAGACAGAUGACAAUCAAUGCAGCAGCGGGGACCAGAGCUGGGUAACUGACAAAUACAGGGGAGGUAAUAAACAGGUGAUUGAAUCCAGGUGAGUCCAAUAUCGCUGAUGCGUGUGACGAGGGAAGGCAGGUGUGUGUAAUGAUGGUGGCGGGAGUGCGUAAUGCAGGGCAGCCUGGCGCCCUUGAGUGCCUGGGGGGAAGAGCGGGAGCAGGCGUAAAGGCAGACAGUACAUGUACAUUUGUUUAAAUUCGACCCAUGAUUGUUAUGUUUCUUGCUGCUUAAUCUCUCAAAUAUAAAUUGAAAUCACAAUGCACUAUGUGUCUGUCCACUGUAGUGAAGGCAACGGAUGAAGUGAGGACAAUGUAGUGGCCUACUACCUGUCUGAGUUCAAAGUACCGAUUGGUCAGGAUUCUGCAGUGAAACUCUUGGCUCCAUGGAUCCGCUAGAGCGAAGUCAGCAGGGGAGGAUGGGCAUGGGGAUGGGCCGCUGGCCAACCAGCUCCCUGCUCAUCAACAAUGUAAUGUCUGAUGAAAAAGAGGUCUGUUAAAGAUCAGACCGGAUGUUUUGCUUUGCUCCACACUACUGUCUCAUAUAAACCUACAGCUCUGAAUGCAUGUAUGACAAAGGCCAUCAAUGGUGAGAAACAACAUCUGCUGUUUAGGUUUCAACUAUUAUCUUUCUGGAUGUCACAGGCCAUCCAUGUGCAGCUAACUGACCUUGUCUACUCUGCCUGUCUGUUCGUCUGUCUCUUCGUCUGUCUCUCAGCCCCUCCAAACCUAUUCCUAUCACACACGUAAGCGUCGCACAGGCACCUUAGUCACCUGGCUUUCCUGAUUCUCCGUACCCUCCAAACACAGACUUGGCGUGGAGGCUACAUGCUGAUCGAGGCUACAAGGUCCAACUGGAGUUUGACACCUUCAACUUGGAGGAUGACUGUCAGAACGACUUCAUCAAUGUGUAUGACUCCCUGGUGCCAAUGGCAGAGUGAGUAGUGAGAAAGUGAAGACAAGAAACAGUCAACAUUUCCCCAUUGAUAUUUACUUAAGAUGCCUGACUCAUGACUCAUGAGUUCCAUCCAAGUGCAAUUGUCUGCCUCAGUUAAAUCAUGUUUUGAUCUCUGUGCAGGAAAUGUGGAUAUUAUACAUGCAAUGAGCAUCUGUCGUUCAUUUCCUCUGGAAACGUCAUGCUGCUGAUGCUGGUAACCAACGAGGAGAAGAACUUCCCUGGCUUCAGAGCCACUUACUCUGAGCCUCCCCUAGAGCCAAGGUGAAGCUGGUUGCUG